AUGGGCCGUUGGUUGCCUUCAUGGGAGAGUGCGGCCUUUGAGGUCUUCAGCGUGGGUGUGGAGGAGCGGGAAGAGGUGAGGAGGAUGACAACAUGGGAAAAAAGCAGCCAGAUCAAAGCUCCCGUCGCCGCUCACGUUGCCAAGGAGUGGAGGGCCGCAGUUGGCCGCAUCACAGACAAGCGAGGACAAGGACAACGCCUGGAUUCGGCGAUGGCAUCAUCCAUCAUGAGAGGCCUGGGCCUCCUCCACGGACAAGGCGGCGGCGGACAACGCCUGGAUUCGGCGAUGGCAUCAUCCAUCAUGAGAGGCCUGGGCUUCCUCCACGGCCAAGGCGGCGGCGAUCUGAGCACCAGUUCAAGUUUUCUGAAGAAAAGCUUCAGGCUUCUGCAGUUUUCAUUCUUCACGGCGCAGAGGUUACAGAGGUCAGAUGAUGUGUGCAAGGAAGGAAAGAUGCAGACAAGCAACGCCGAAGACGUCUUCAAAGCGCUUGAUGAGAUUGAGUUCCCAGAGUUGGUAGAGCCCCUGAGGACUGCAUUGGAUGAAGCAAAGGCAGUCUGGAGCAAAACAGAGGAAACUAGAUACAGAGCCAAUGCUGUAGAGCAAAAUGAUCGAGCAAACGAAGCCAACGCGGAUGACGAUUAA
rnacentral:rRNA from 1 species